AUGACCUCAACUCAGGCAAGACUACCUGCUGAACUUAAGCAUAUCAGUAAGCAGAGGAAAAGAAAACAACUGUGAUUCCCUUAGUAACUGCGAGUGAAGCGGGAAAAGCCCAUCGUUUAAUCUUCCCGGACCAUGGACGGGACGAAAUGUAACGGUAUGGAUAGGUUCUCUACCAACUAUGUCUGAUCAAAGUCCUCCGGAUUGAGGUGCCAAAGAGGGUGACAGCCCCGUGUGUGAUUGGAUGGCGUUGGGUAUGUGACCGAUUCCGAGAGUCGGGUUGUUUGGGACUGCAACCUAAAGCAGGUGGUAAACUCCACCCAAGGCUAAAUAUUGACACGAAACCGAUAGCGAACAAGUACUGUGAAGGAAAGUUGAAAAGAACUCUGAAAAGAGAGUUAAAAGUACGUGAAACCGCUAACGGGGAAGCGGAAGGCAGUGUCGAGAUUGAGUGAGUGAGUUGGUUCAAGUGCGUUUGGUGUGUCGUGUUGGCGGUGUGUAAUGUGCGCUUGGAUCGGCUAGCUUUGCUUGAUGCGUCAGGACUAUUGGUGUGCGACGGUUCAAUCGUCAGCAUGGCUGUCACGGAACACUCAAAUGUUUCGUGGUUGCGGCUGGUGAUCCGCCUCGUGUGCUGAUAUGUAUGUGAUGGAGCGUUGGUGAUGUAUGGUCGGUUGGUGCUGUGCGGCGUUUCGUGCUGGUCACAUUGUGGCUACGUGCGGAAAAGUCGUGUGGUAGUUCAACAACCAGUGCUAGCUCCUGACGUGAUACCUAACUUUCCGACCCGUCUUGAAACACGGACCAAGGAGGCAGAAUCUAGAGCGAGUUGGAGGGUGCAAAACCCGACGGCGCAGUGAAAGCGAGAGAUGAGAUCCGGGGGUCUCGGCCCUCGGAGCAUCAUCGGCCAGUCACUCUGUGAUUGAGUUUGAGCUGUAGAUGCUGGACCCGAAAGAUGGUGAACUAUGCGUGAGCAGGGCGAAGCCAGAGGAAACUCUGGUGGAGGCUCGAAGCGAUUCUGACGUGCAAAUCGAUCGUUUGACUUGCGUAUAGGGGCGAUAGACUAAUCGAACCAUCUAGUAGCUGGUUCCCUUCGAAAUAUCCCUCAGGAUCGCUGAGACAAGUGGGAGACAGUUUCAUCGGGUAGAGCGAAUGAUUAGAGGAAUCGGGGAUAUAUUACUCUCGACCUAUUCUCAAACUUCCAACCGGUGAGAGUGCUGUUUACUUGAUUGAAACGGGCACGCGGAAUGUCUUUGUCUCAAGUGGGCCAUUUUUGGUAAGCAGAACUGGCGAUGCGGGAUGAACCGAGAGUUGAGCUAAGGUGCCUAACGACACGUUGAUAGAUACCACAAAAGGAGUCGGUCGAUAAAGACAGCAGGGCGGUGGCCCUGAAAGUAGGAAUCCGCUAAGGAAUUGUCUAAAAACUCACCUGCCGAAUCGACCGGCCCUGAAAAUGGAUGGCGCUGAAGCGUGUGACCGAUGCUCGACCUCUACCACGAGAGAUGUUGGUAGGGGGUAGAAGGGCGCGGCGGUAGCGACAAAGUACAAAGUGUAAACUUGUAUGGAGCUGCCGUCGGUGUAGAUCUUGGUGGUAGUAGCAAUUAUAAAAGUGAAAACCUUUUAGGCCGAAGUGGAGAAGGGUUCCACGUGAACAGCAGUUGGACGUGGGUUAGUCGGUCCUAAGCGGUUGCCUAACGGCUAGUGAAAAGCCAACUUAUGGUCGCACUUGUGUGGCUAAAUAUAAUAGGUUGGAAUCCGCGAAAGGGAAUCAGGUUAAUAUUCCUGAACCGGGCUAUGGAGACGCUGCCUUGUGCGUUAUUGCCAAUUCGUUGGUGGUGGCGUUGGGGUAGCUUAGCGGUAACGCAAACAAUCUCGGAGACGUUGACAUCUAUGGCGGGGAGAAUUAUCUUUUCUGCAUAACAGGUAAAUCACCUUGGAAUCGAGUCAUUCGGAGAUAAGGUAAAAAGCCUGGAAGAGCACCGCAACUAUUGCAGUGUCCGCAGUGUAGGUGUCGGCCCUUGAAAAUCCGAGGGAGUGGAUAAAUUUCAUGCCCGUCCGUACCGAAUCCGCAUCAGGUCUCCUAGGUGAGCAGCCUCUGGCACUGGAACAAUGUAGGUAAGGGAAGUCGGCAAAAUAGAUCCGUAACUUUGGGAAAAGGAUUGGCUCUAAGGGCCGGGCCAAUCGAGCUAGUAUUGCCUAGGCUAGUGGGGGCUUGACUGGGUUUGCUCGGGGGCAACUCUGAGUAGGCUUGGUCUUGCAAACGCUGGCCAUGGAAUGCCGGCGUGAAUUUCGGUCGGCUGAGCGGCCGCAAGGUUUGUUCAGUUGAUGGGGUUCUUUACGAGUGGCAAGCAUCGGUCAGCUUAGAACUGUUACCAACUUGGGGAAUCCGACUGUUUAAUUAAAACAAAGCAUUGCGAUGGCCGGAAACGGUGUUGACGCAAUGUGAUUU
rnacentral:rRNA from 1 species